GUGUACCAAUGCUCCAGAGGAGCUUUGCAAUAAAUGGGAAAAAUGAAAGCUUCAAAUAUUUUAGGCAUAGGCAGACACAUGAUCAUGAGAACAGUAUGUUCAACGUACUGACAUAUGUAAUCCAGUGUGGUCAGUUUCCAACAAGUGCGAGCCAGAAAACUGGGCAUAUUCAAAGUACCUAGAUGUUACUCCUUUUAUGGACAGGAAGGUCAAGUCAAAGAUUCCACUUCCUGGCCCUUGUGAAACUUGUUAAGAGGCUCUUCUUCCUGACCACUAUAUGGAAACUGUGUACCGGCGUACAGCAACAAGCAUGUGUGAAUAAUGAGAGCUCAUCCAUCACAUCAGUUGAACAUGAAUUGAAAAGCCGGUGAAGACAACAAAAGAUAUAGUGUUCCACUUCAUAGGUCGUUCACUGAAGAAAUGUUUGACAAAUAAUGUAUUGUUAUGUUACAAAAAUAAAAAUAAAAUUUA